rnacentral:rRNA from 1 species
UACGUAGGGUCCGAGCGUUAAUCGGAAUACUGGGCGUAAAGCGUGCGCAGGCGGUCUUGUAAGCCAGAUGUGAAAGCCCCGGGCUCAACCUGGGAACUGCAUUUGGGACUGCAAGGCUGGAGUACGGCAGAGGGAGGUGGAAUUCCGACGUGGUAGCAGUGAAAUGCGUAGAGAUGUGGAGGAACACCGAUGGCGAAGGCAGCCUCCUGGGCUAGUACUGACGCUCAUGCACGAAGCGUGGGAGCAACAGG